GUGGGGGAUAUUGCACAAUGGGCGGAAGCCUGAUGCAGCGACGCCGCGUGAAGGAAGAAGUAUUUCGGUAUGUAAACUUCUAUCAGCGGGGAAGAAGAUGACGGUACCCGACUAAGAAGCCCCGGCUAACUACGUGCCAGCAGCCGCGGUAAUACGUAGGGGGCAAGCGUUAUCCGGAUUUACUGGGUGUAAAGGGAGCGUAGACGGCAAGGCAAGUCCGAUGUGAAAACCCGCGGCUCAACCGCGGGAUUGCAUUGGAAACUGUUUAGCUCGAGUACUGGAGGGGUAAGCGGAAUUCCUAGUGUAGCGGUGAAAUGCGUAGAUAUUAGGAGGAACACCGGCGGCGAAGGCGGCUUACUGGACAGUAACUGACGUUGAGGCUCGAAAGCGUGGGGAGCAAACAGGAUUAGAUACCCGGGUAGUCC
rnacentral:rRNA from 1 species